rnacentral:rRNA from 1 species
GCACAAGCGGUGGAGCAUGUGGAUUAAUUCGAUGCAACGCGAAGAACCUUACCUGGGUUUGACAUGCACAGGACGCNGGNAGAGAUAUCNGUUCCCUUGUGGNCUGUGUGCAGGUGGNGCAUGGCUGUCGUCAGCUCGUGUCGUGAGAUGUUGGGUUAAGUCCCGCAACGAGCGCAACCCUUNUCUNAUGUUGCCAGCGGGUAAUGCCGGGGACUCGUGAGAGACUGCCGGGGUCAACUCGGAGGAAGGUGGGGAUGACGUCAAGUCAUCAUGCCCCUUAUGUCCAGGGCUUCACACAUGCUACAAUGGCCGGUACAAAGGGCUGCGAUGCCGUAAGGUUAAGCGAAUCCUUUUAAAGCCGGUCUCAGUUCGGAUCGGGGUCUGCAACUCGACCCCGUGAAGUCGGAGUCGCU